UUUGGUUGCCUGUUCAGUUCUAGCGUCAGGUUGUUGGUGAAUCCACACGGCAAAAUAGUGCGCUAAUUUUUUGGCGAGCCCCGAUUUGGCAAGGCUGGUACGGGCGGCAUCCAAACAACCCCUGUGAGCCAAGCUCUCAUCCCUUCCUCUUGACAUCAAGGGAGAUUUGCAUCCAUUACGAUUUCCUAGAGAGUUUAUAAAGGUAUUCAAGAUCAUGCGAGCUGCUGGAUCUGUUUGUAUGUCGCCUGAACCCUACCUAGUGCUCUACAAGGCCUGGAGCAAAAGUUGGGAGUCUAGUACAGAUCGAUUCAGAUCUGAGGUGUUAUAUCUUAAAAGAAUACCGAGAGUUUGUUUAACUGGAUGGAUGCAGCCUUGGCUGGAGCAUCUGCAAUCGUAUUUUGUUCUCUUGAAACAUAGGUCUGAAGCUUACAAAAAGUUCGUUGAUCAGCUCCAUGGUAACUGGUUGCAGAGUCCAGUGAUGUGCUGGAGUGUUUUCCGCUAGUUAAGUCUGAUCCAUGCACUCCUAGUGGUGUGGACAGCUUCUGCAUGUACAGGGGAGGGAGGAAUUGCCUGAACAUCGGCAAUAAUAGGGAGUUGGCCCAUGGAUGUACUUAACAUUCACACGGAUGGUAUAGAGGGAGCUAUGUAUUUGGUGCUAGCUGCUGAGUCUCAAUUGAGCAUGUGACUGUAUCCCUUUUAUGCUUUUUGGUUCACGCUUGUGGUAGAUUCUGGUGUCUUAUGGAUGAAAUUAUGAUAAAUAUAAAUGAAAUUAGGAUAAAAGCACAAUUCAGAAAAUCAUCUCGUCUCA